rnacentral:lncRNA from 1 species
AAAGUCUAUAGCCAGUGCAUUUGAAAACUCCCCUUGCACCAGGGCUGACUGUAGCUGGGGGAAGACAUUUUACUCAUUUGCUCUUUCCUUUCAUACAGUCAGCUGGUCCCUCUUCUCAGGUGUAGAUCACCUAUUAUAAUUUUACCUAAUUUUGAUACUCUGAUAAGGAAAGUCCCAGGACUUAUCAGCUGGGAUAGGCCUCACUUACAAGACAGCUCUGUUCAGUAUUUGGAAGAAAGAAAGCCUGACAGGUUUCUUCGGAAAAGUGGCCAUCCAUGGAAUGAAUGAAAUGUUCUCUUUCUAUUCCAAUCCAACUUAGAAAUAAUGUUUCAUUCAAGAUAAGGCUCGUGGCUUAGGAGAUUGUGACCUGGCUUGCAUCAUUCUAAGACUUCUAUCGUCUGUUUUCAAAACCCAAGGAGGACCUCCUUUUCUGUGUGAUAGUUCCUCAUGCUUUGCCAGCCACUGGGUCUUUAAGGAAGCUUGCCAAGAGUUCCCGGCUGGGAAGGACAGUUCGAGUUCAUCAUAGACAAUGAGCUGGCACCACAGUUUAAGUGACUCACCAACCUGGUUGCCCACUUCAAAAUGUCAAGAACCACACUAUCUAAUUGAAAGAACUGUGUUUUAGCAAAGUGUAAUUGGAUCGCCUGGCAAGAUCAUCUCAAACUAUGUCUCUGACCUUGCCUUUCAGUGGCUAUUUUGAGCACAAGAGGAGAAAGGAAAUGAUUCCUGAAUUAUAUCUUGUUUUUAAAAAUUAAGAUUAAUUAAUACUUGGUUUUAUGUUCAUUCCAUUGUAGGAACUUAGUGAUUAUUACAAAACAGUCAAAAUAGGUCAUAGCAAAAUGAACGUUUAAGAUUAGGUUAAAACAUUCCUCUGAAAUUUUAGUAUUCACUUUUGAAGUGUCAAUUACUAUAUUUCUGUAAUUUCUCAUUUUUUUCUUGGCUUAGAGUCAAGAUGAAAAAUGAUAUUUGAAUCAAAGACAUUGUUUUGUUAUAUAGCCACUCCUUUCUAAAAUGCAAAUCCACCCUCCCCUCACCAAUGCUUUAUUCUUUGUGCGCGCACACACACACACACACACACACACACACACACACACACACAGACAUACACAGAACCAGCACCCAAAUGGUAGAGGAGGUCCUUCCAAGACUUCUAGGACCUGGA